rnacentral:rRNA from 1 species
UUUUAUGGAGAGUUUGAUCCUGGCUCAGGAUGAACGCUGGCGGCGUGCCUAAUACAUGCAAGUCGAGCGAACAGACGAGGAGCUUGCUCCUCUGACGUUAGCGGCGGACGGGUGAGUAACACGUGGAUAACCUACCUAUAAGACUGGGAUAACUUCGGGAAACCGGAGCUAAUACCGGAUAAUAUAUUGAACCGCAUGGUUCAAUAGUGAAAGACGGUUUUGCUGUCACUUAUAGAUGGAUCCGCGCCGCAUUAGCUAGUUGGUAAGGUAACGGCUUACCAAGGCAACGAUGCGUAGCCGACCUGAGAGGGUGAUCGGCCACACUGGAACUGAGACACGGUCCAGACUCCUACGGGAGGCAGCAGUAGGGAAUCUUCCGCAAUGGGCGAAAGCCUGACGGAGCAACGCCGCGUGAGUGAUGAAGGUCUUCGGAUCGUAAAACUCUGUUAUUAGGGAAGAACAAAUGUGUAAGUAACUAUGCACGUCUUGACGGUACCUAAUCAGAAAGCCACGGCUAACUACGUGCCAGCAGCCGCGGUAAUACGUAGGUGGCAAGCGUUAUCCGGAAUUAUUGGGCGUAAAGCGCGCGUAGGCGGUUUUUUAAGUCUGAUGUGAAAGCCCACGGCUCAACCGUGGAGGGUCAUUGGAAACUGGAAAACUUGAGUGCAGAAGAGGAAAGUGGAAUUCCAUGUGUAGCGGUGAAAUGCGCAGAGAUAUGGAGGAACACCAGUGGCGAAGGCGACUUUCUGGUCUGUAACUGACGCUGAUGUGCGAAAGCGUGGGGAUCAAACAGGAUUAGAUACCCUGGUAGUCCACGCCGUAAACGAUGAGUGCUAAGUGUUAGGGGGUUUCCGCCCCUUAGUGCUGCAGC